rnacentral:rRNA from 1 species
AUUGAACGCUGGCGGCAGGCUUAACACAUGCAAGUCGAACGAGCGGCGGACGGGUGCGUAAUGUAUGGGGACUGCCAGCUAGAGGGGGAUAACUACUGGAAACGGUGGCUAAUAACGCAUACUAUCGGAUAACCCAAAUGGGAUUAGCUAGUAGGUGGGGUAAAGGCCAACCUAGGCGACGAUCUCUGGCUGGUCUGAGAGGAUGAUUAGCCACACUGGGACUGAGACACGGCCCAGACUCCUACGGAGGCAGCAGUGGGGAAGAUUGCGCAAUGGGGGCAACCCUGACGCAGCCAGGCCGGGUGAAUGAAGAAGGCCUUCGGGUUGUAAAGUUCUUUCGGUAGCGAGGCGUUAACUACAGAAGAAGCACCGGCUAACUCCGUGCCAGCAGCCGCGGUAAUUC